rnacentral:rRNA from 1 species
UACAGAGGGUGCGAGCGUUUGUUCGGAAUUAUUGGGCGUAAAGCGCUGGUAGGUGGCUUGUUAAGUCGCGUGUGAAAGCUCCCGGCUCAACCGGGAAAGUGCGCGCGAAACUGGCGAGCUUGAGUGCCGGAGAGGGUCGCGGAAUUCCCAGUGUAGAGGUGAAAUUCGUAGAUAUUGGGAGGAACACCAGAGGCGAAGGCGGCGACCUGGGAGGUAACUGACACUGAGCAGCGAAAGCGUGGGGAGCAAACAGG